UCUUGAAUAUAUUUAGAUCUUUAUUAAUACAUAUAACUUUUGAUUCUUCCCCUCAGGAACAACUCCAGGAACAACACCAGAAACCACUCCGGCUACAACACCUGCAACAACACCUGCAACAACACCAGGAACGACACAUGCAACAACACCUGUGACAUCACCUGGAACAACACCUGUGACAACGCCAGCUACAACACCUGGAACAACACCUAGAACAACACCAGGCACAACACCAGGAACAACUCCAGGAACAACACCAGAAACCACUCCGGCUACAACACCUGCAACAACACCUGCAACAACACCAGGAACGACACAUGCAACAACACCUGUGACAUCACCUGGAACAAAACCUGUGACAACGCCAGCUACAACACCUGGAACAACACCUAGAACAACACUAGGCACAACACCAGGAACAACUCCAGGAACAACACCAGAAACCACUCCGGCUACAACACCUG
rnacentral:lncRNA from 1 species